rnacentral:SRP_RNA from 1 species
GCCAGGUGUGGUGGCACACACCUGUAAUCCCAGCUACUCAGGAGGCUGAGGCAGGAGAAUCGCUUGAACCUGGGAGGCGGAGGUUGCAGUGAGCCAAGGUUGCGCCACUGGACUCCAGCCUGGGUGACAGAGCAAGAUCCUGUCUCAA